AUCCUUGCUUCAGCAGAACAUAUACUAAAAUUGGAACGAUACAGAAAAGAUUAGCAUGGCCCCUGCACAAGCAUGACAUGCAAAUUCAUGAAGUAUUCCACAUUUUU
rnacentral:snRNA from 1 species